GACAGGCUAAGACAGGCAGGAAAGAUGUGUGUGGGAUGAGUUAUCCAAACGGGACAUCCAGGACUGAAAAAGUAAGAGGAAAUCAAAUCAGAAAAGCACUAAGGAAACAUGCAAGUAGAAUAUGAACAGAGGAACCUCACAGAAAAGCCUACAAGAGAAAGACAAACUACAGUGUGAUUUCCUGGAAACUUAAUGUUCUUGCUUCUCUCCGCUUCUCUAAGUUGUAGGUAUUCUGCCAAAGCCUGAAAAAGUACAUAAACUUGGUCUCCUGCAAGCAUCUAAUGAGACAUCCACACUGCAAAGGGCGAUCUGGGAUGGAAUGAGGACUGCAAGAAAACAAGAAAGCUUCUUAGAAAAAGUGUUCCCUGGAAGAGCAAAGGAAAACAGGAUAUGAAGAGAUUUCA